rnacentral:rRNA from 1 species
AUGGCUCAGAUUGAACGCUGGCGGCAGGCCUAACACAUGCAAGUCGAACGGUAACAGGAAGCAGCUUGCUGCUUGCUGACGAGUGGCGGACGGGUGAGUAAUGUCUGGGAAACUGCCUGAUGGAGGGGGAUAACUACUGGAAACGGUAGCUAAUACCGCAUAACGUCGCAAGACCAAAGAGGGGGACCUUCGGGCCUCUUGCCAUCGGAUGUGCCCAGAUGGGAUUAGCUAGUAGGUGGGGUAACGGCUCACCUAGGCGACGAUCCCUAGCUGGUCUGAGAGGACGACCCAGCCACACUGGAACUGAGACACGGUCCAGACUCCUACGGGAGGCAGCAGUGGGGAAUAUUGCACAAUGGGCGCAAGCCUGAUGCAGCCAUGCCGCGUGUAUGAAGAAGGCCUUCGGGUUGUAAAGUACUUUCAGCGGGGAGGAAGGCGACAGGGUUAAUAACCCUGUCGAUUGACGUUACCCGCAGAAGAAGCACCGGCUAACUCCGUGCCAGCAGCAGC